CAACGGACUUCAACAGAACACAAUGGAGCGCCAGCGUAGAAAUGCGCUGGAUGACCGCCGCUAUAUGCUGGAACGCCCUGAGAGCCCGAGGUACUCGCCGGAUGCUGGUCAUCUGGCAGUGAAAAUCCGAGGGAUUGGGUAAUCAGCAGGUAACCGCAAGGGAACCUCAGAGACUACACGCGGCGCACCUGACCGGUCAGGCCGAAGGUGAAGAUAUAGUCCAGACUGCAAGCCG
rnacentral:ncRNA from 1 species